UGAUUAAACCCGUGGUCCUCCCUCCCCGAUCCGCUCGGGUUCCAUCUUUACGUCUCACCCCUCAGUGUAAACGUCACCUGAGUGUGUUGUGCCCAACAGACAGCACUGAACGUCUGAUGGACAAACGCAUCAUCUCUGAUGUCAUCUCUGAUGUCAUCUCUGGACUGGAACGUCUACACGGUAACGACCAGAGAGUCACAAACCUUCAGGUGAAGACACAGACUGAAGUGGAACAGUGUUCACACCUGAAUCCGCCUGUGGCUGUUGACUGUGUUAGUGACGAGGUGUCAACAUCAGAGCUGUUCCUGUUCAGAACUCCAGGGAAAACGUCAAGAAGAUCCUGAACAUCCCUAACUGGAAAUGUUGUUUCCUCCCACAGUUGGUGGAUUUAGUCACUAAGUCAACAGUCGAGUUUGUUUCUCCAACCAACCUUCAUCCGUCUAAAGUCAACAUAGUUAUAUGUAAAUAUAAAUAUAUGUUUGGGUAGUGAUUACAUGAUUCAAUUCUUACAACAUAUGAUCACUACUACACACUAUAGACUUAUUUAUAUAUUAUUUUAUCAUAUUUCUUUAAUUGCUCAUGACGUACCAACACUCCCUCUACUGGUCUGAUCUACUGGUAGAUCCCGACCUUCUUAUUGAGCACCCCUGGUCUACAACCCACUUGGCAACAGUGUCCGUCAGCAGCCAGCUGUGGACUUGUUGACUGUUCUGAACUCAGUGAAGUUGGUCUGACACAGGCUGGACGUCUGACCUGAAGUUGAAGCCUCCACAAACACAGGAUGGUGUUUAAAAAACUUGAGCUCCUUCAGUGAAACAAAUGUUUUUGUUUUUGUUUCAUCCCACUGAUGUUACGGCACUCUAACAUCCCUGAUGGGAAUUGGACCGACUCCACUGAUCCACAGUUUCCACUGCUUCAGCCUUUUGAACUCCCAGAUAGGACCACAAUCUGCAACAGUUGCCCCACUUAGCGGCACUGAUGGAGCCACGGCUGAUUAACUGCCCCAACGUUAGGGCGACGCGUCGAGGGAAUCGGUCACAGACUGCUGUUUACUGCACCUAUCCUUGACGCCAUCUGGGGUCUCGGAUCAAUACAUGACCCAUCAGUAGGUGGUCGCCCCCCCCCCCUCCCUUCCCUCCCCCAUCACAUCAGCUCUCAUGGGAAAUAACAAAAUUGAAGGAUUGGCUCUAACAGCGGUUUGACUACAGAUACGUUGAGUCAGAUGAUGUUUGAGGAGUGAGGGGGAGGAGGGGGGAGGAAGGGGGGGGAGGAAGCAGAGUUUACGUUGUUGGCCUUUCCUCUGUGACCAGGCUAACAUUAGCUCAGGUGGAGGGGGGAGUGAAGGGGGUUUGGGGGGUGUGAAAACCAACACCACACGUGGGAGGUACAGAAAUACCACGCAGUCACUCAAGGACACGCAGCGAAGAAAAA